UGUGACAAAACAAAUCGCCCUCUGGAACAGCAGUGUGGACAUUUUGACCCAUCACUGCAGAAAAUGCUGCUCCAUACUACUCUAUUCUGUAUAGGUAUAUUAUGUUUGUACAUGUUAUGUCAUUGGCAUGGUUUUAUAGGACAUUUAAUGAUGCGCUGAUUGAUAAUUGUUUGGCAUCAUUGGGUGAGAAUCCCCAAAUUCUCUUUCAAUAUAUUGUAAUUUAAGUAAAUAUAAUUUCUAACCCUUUUUGUAGACUGAGUUUGGGCUGUCUCGGGCAAAUAGGGGUUAAGUACAGGAUUGGCAGUGACUAAUCAUCAAGACAGUCAGGUGUGACUCUACUGCUGUACAUUGUGUCUCCACACAGAUGCUUGGAAAGGUGGCGUCACUUGUCCUUAUAAUUAGGCAUCCACAGGGGAGUGGCUCCUCUUCCAGUGUCUAUCAUGUGACCAUAUUUCUACAGUAACUCUGGGCAGACUUCCUGUUUUUCUUUACCCUGUCUUGUAGCAGGUGGCAUCCAGUGUUAAGUGCAUUACUGUCAACCACAAUGUCUGACUGUGGACUAAACUUAAUAGCCUCUUAAUUAAAGAGCCUAAAACAGUCUAAACAAACUGUGAUUGUCUGAUUGGUCUACAACUUGACCAUUCAAUGUUAAGAGAUAUCACACACUGGACCUUUAAAUGGUGUGUAGCACUGAUAUUCACAAAAACCAACAGCAGAAGUUGUGUACUAGGAUGCACUCACAUCUAGCAAAACCACCAAUGAAUCAAUACUAUGUAUCCACAGACUAUCACUCUCCGAAUAAAGGGUGAAAAUGAUCAUUAAUGUGCAUGACCACCAGAGGGAGUAGUGAGUCACUGGUCUCUGCUAGUCUCUCAUGAUGAGGUAAAGGAACGUCACAGGGUCUUUGACAAAAGUGGCCAGAUGCCAAGAAAUUACUUUAAGUGUGGGUGAAUUAUCUUUGCUAAGUUGGCCAUUUGUUGAUCCAUGGUUCAAACUAAACUGUGAGGCUAUGAGUUUUGAUUGGAAGAAGAAAAUUUGAUGAUACCACAAAACCUGAAGUGUGGAAAUGGUGAGCUCUAUGACUAUUCAGUGAGCAAUGCAGUCUGUGGACACAUGGCGUUGAUUUGUUGGGGGUUUUGGUAGUUCUAAGUGUGUUCUGGUACCAGACUUCCCCCUGCUGGUAGGACUUUAGAAUUGCAGUACUACAUAUAGCCUAUUUAAGGACAACAUUCCAUAAAACAAAAGCAGGAAGAAAGCAGUUUGAGAAGACAAGACCAAAUUUUAUCAUUCAUAUAAAGUUAAGGUCACAGUGUCUGUGAAGGGGACAGACAACACAAAAAUGGAAGAUGUAAAAACAAAAUAAGAUUGAAAUACAAGAAAGCAAAAUGUUAAAAUGAAAAAAAAAACAAAAAGAUCAACCAGUCAAAUCCAUCCCAACAUUACCAUUCUGGCUUGGAAUAACUGAAAACCUAAAAAGUUGAUUUAGUGAAAAAGAAUCUCAUGAUGGACCAAAACCAACAACACAAACACAACUUCUGCUUUAUUCAUGACUACAACGAGUCACCGUGCUACGUAUAUCCCAAAUUAGAUCAGUGUUGUGUACCGUGCACUAAGCUGUCAAUUGGCUGAGACGGGUAGUUGUCUGCUACCAUGGCAACGUGGAGUGACAAUCCCUUAUCUUGCGUUUGACGUGUUCAGUCCUCACUCCAAGAACUCUGCAGGAAAUACUACUUUCUGCAUGUAGCACAGAGCAACAAUGUUUGCAGUGUCAACUCACUUGUUUGUUUUGCAGUUCUUAACUAUUAAUAUCCCUUUCCGGGUGGAUAUUUACAUCCCAUCCUCCUUGUCGGCUCCAGUAGAGCUACAUAAGAUAUUUAAGAAGAGAUUUAAAAUGGUUCCAGCGAAGAAAAGUCAAUCAACAGCUCGUUCUUAAUUGGCUCUCCUGAAAGCUCGUAAAGGUCGCUGAGGGUUCACUCUGGAAAUAAGAGCACACGGUGAAAAAAAGGACCCAGUAAACCUCUUAGAAAGCUAAUUGAAGUGUUAUACAAAGAGGCACAUUCUUUGAAGGAUGAGUGUUGAAGUCACAGGGCUCGCUGACCGGGCAGCGCUGCAGUUUGGCACUGUGCCUUUCAAACUGCAAGCCUCUUCAGGACCUGGAGGGAAGUCUCUGGGUAAAUCGGAUCCGAGAUGGUGAAGUUCAAGGCCUGGAUAUUGGGUCAUUUGAGUCGGAUAGGAUAACUUAUUUGCCCUUCGCUCCAUGGAAAGCUACGGGAUAAAUGUCGAAAAAGGAUUCAUCUUCUGGAAGCAGCGGGGGUAAAUCUGUGCGGCGAGUGGCCCUGUGAACUUGGCCUGCUGUGGAGCGAGUUACGACGGAGAUGUUUGUGGACAAAAACGUAGGAAGAUCAGCUACUGACAAAUCACCUCAUCGUGUGCAUUAACUGGAAAAGAAGGAAUUUGUGGAUUGUGAGUGGAUAUCUGAAAAAGACAAGACUUAAAUGGACCUCAUAAACCCUGUGAGAUGGAAUAAAUAGUCUUAAAAAAGUGAGUGAAGCAAAAUAGCUUUAAGUAUAGUGACAUUGCACAGUGUGACAGUAGAAAUACUGGUGUGAAUUCUGUUUUUGGGUUUCUUCUUCAAUUGCUAAGCAGCGACAGGGUAGGACUAAAAGAAAAAAGACUAAUUUUCUUAUAUGCAAUGACAACAUGAAUUCAGCAGAAUAGUCAGAUGUGCUUUAAGGGAGAAUAUGUAACAUACAUGAAGAAAUUUGUAUGAAAUAGCAGAUGCAGUUUGUAAAAUGCAAAUUCAAAGGUGACAGAAAUUAGAGUGUAGUCCAAAAGCAGAGGAAAUUCUUGAAAUUGUGCUCAAAGAAAGACAGGAAGGUAUUUGAAUAUUUCAGCUUCUACGGUGCAGAACACUAUGAUCUUGUUCCUGGAAAUCUGUGGCUUUAUAAUUUCAGAGGAAAUCUGAGGAUAUAAUAAUUCAGGACUUAAAUCAUCUCAUAAAAAUAGCUUAAUCCAUUAAUUUUGGCAUUCCAUACAUUUUUCCUUUUGAAUCUAGAAAUUAUAUAAUAGUAUCAGGGGGGAAAAAAAGAAUGAUACUUGAGAGACAAAAGAAAUUUCCUGGAACUUGGAAACUUUGAGGGAGAAAAUGAUGCAGAAAACAUAGCAGCUAUAACAGCCUGUUGGAAUUUAAAUGUUGUUCCUCUUCGUUUUGGUUCCUGGAUAUCCAUCAGAUCUUCCUUAAAGGAGAUGAACUCAGAGCAGGAGUCAGGCCUCAUUAUUCCCUGGACACUUAAAUCCCUUGUCCAGAGCUGUGGCUUAAACAGCUGUGGUCGGACCCGUCCAACUGAAACAAAAGUCACAGAGACAAGUGCAGCUUCUCCUGCUUUCACUAAUUUUAAUAUAAGCUGGGAAGACAAUGAAAAAUCAUUAGAACCACCUGUUACCACUUU